CGAAGGCGGCUCGGGCUCGGGCUCCGGAUGUGCUAGGUGUGGGCCGGCCCCCACCCGACCCUGACAAGUGACCAUGGAUCCUGGAGCCGGGUCAGAGACAUCUCUGACUGUCAAUGAGCAGGUCAUCGUGAUGUCAGGUCAUGAGACCAUCCGAGUGCUGGAAGUCGGAGUGGAUGCCCAGCUCCCUGCUGAGGAAGAGAGCAAAGGACUGGAGGGUGUGGCCGCUGAGGGCUCCCAGAGCGGAGACCCUGCUGAAGCCAGUCAAGCUGCUGGUGAAGCUGGGCCAGACAACCUGGGCUCCUCUGCAGAGGCAACUGUAUUGCAGGUCAAGUGGCUGGUCAGCAGGGGCUGGCCGUGUGGACAA
rnacentral:sRNA from 1 species